UACGACUCAGUCCUGGCCAGUGUCUGUUAGCUUCCAUUGCUUCUGACCACCAGUUGAGGGGCACGACUUCCACAUUUCGCCUGCUAGCGCUGAUAUCGCGGCUACACUGGCACGAUCAGUCUUUUCCAUAGAGACACAUUCAAAGCAGCGUGGUGCUGAAGUGUUGAACGGAGGGCUGCUAUGCUAACAGAGAUAGCUGUUAACUCCUUCACUGACAAAUGCAAUGUCUUUGUAUAGUAGGCAAUGUGAUCCCCUUUUAAAAACUGCAUGAAAGGCUGUAGAGAGAAAUGCUGUCUAAUCUCAUCUAGAAAUUGAAAGAACACUAUUGGCUGUGCACAGAUGCAGUCAUAUUUUCCCCAAAUCUUGAUGGAUGUUGUCUUUUCUUUAGGCGUCACAUCGAUCAGAGCCCGAAGUCGCAGUCCAGGAGCUUGUCAAACCCUCCAACACUCCUGUCUCUCAAUCAGAAGCUACCAUCCUCCCCAACCCUUUCAAGCACUACCUGGUUUUGACUUCUGUUUC
rnacentral:lncRNA from 1 species